rnacentral:lncRNA from 1 species
GCCUUUGUGAAACUGCUUCUAUCUGAGAAGGAGGAGUUGCCAUUUAGCAAGUAGUAGGUGGUACCGUGUGUGGCAGAGUCCGAUGUGUUACACCACGAGGACAUUCAUCUUUGCAAUUGGUGAAGUCCUUCUACCUAGUUCCCCUUCCUUGUGCACAGAAGAGGACUGGAAAACUCCUCACAGGACUGCAUACUGCUAUCUCUGAGAAACCAGAAAGAAGAAAGUACCUCUUCCUUCCAAGCUUCUACCUAAGAGUAUACUGGAAGGUUUACCUAGAGCAACAAGACAACGAAAUGGAUUGUCCUUCUCACGCUAGUCCACACACAAUCCUCAUCAUUUUGAUAAGAUAGCAUGAAGUCUCUUAUCGCUUGUGGAUCCAGCACUUUGGUUCAGUUUGGACAUGCACAUUCCGGAAAGAUUUGACUGAUUGCAUACCCAGCA